CGGGGUCAUUCUGGGCCUUCCUUUUUUGACAUCGUCUUUGUGUUCUUUUGUUCUUUGGCUUGGAUUUCUGGUUGUGAUGCCUAUGUGGUGCGCUUGCUGCUGGGUGUCUUCGUGUAUGACAGGGAUUUCGUGUGCACCAUUCUUUUCCAUGUCUUUUCGCUUGUCCUUCUCGUUUCUCGGCGCGUUGAGGAUGGUUGGGUUUCGCUUGAAUGCUGGUUUCUUCCGUGUGGCCUUCAUUGUCCCCUCUAUUGCGGUGUUGUUCUUUGGGGCAUGGGGAGUGGCUGUGUGUUGACGCUCAGGGUGGUCAUCGUUCGUCGGUGGUGGGGUUGCGGUCGGAUUCGGUGUUACUGCUUUUUCGACCUGCUCAUGGAUUGCUGUGAUGGGUGUCUUGGAGUGUCCGUGGCGGUGGCCGGUGUCAUAUAUGUGAUGGAUCUCCUCACUUGGGUCUUGUGGUUCCGUGCAGUAUGUUGGCGCUCUUUGGAAGAGUGACCUGAGGGCGGUUCUUUUGUGCGAUGGUGGG
rnacentral:lncRNA from 1 species